UCUAUCAAUUAUCCAUAGUACGCGUAUGCGCACCAUUCUGUUAUAAAAGUGAGAUCCAUCUCGGGAUUGUGUUAGGAUCUCUGACAGCCUUUCUUGAAGAUGUCGCGAGUUGUGCUACUCCUGUGUCUCCUGGUGCUGGUCUCCGCGGCCGUGUCCCUGGAUAUCCCCGGCGGCGUCCCCAAGACGCCCGACCUGGGCAAGCUGCCCGACGCCCCUAAACUGCCCGACGCCAAUCUGCCCAAGACCUUGGACGACUUCGACGAUGGGGACAAGUAGCGACCGCUGACCUAGGGCAUGUUGCUACUGGUUUGGUAAACCUUCGACCAUACAGGGCAUGCCACGCUUGAAGCUUGAAAUUAUGACCAUGAUGCAUUAGUAAAUAAGUUAUAUAAUUAUGUAUUUAUGAAGCAAAUUAAAAGCUGCAGCCGA